CUUAUAGGGAUACAUGGCUUUAUCAAACUUAAGAAUGAGCAACGGUUGAUUAUGGGUCUGUUUGGGGAGCCUCUUCCAGCUGCAGCAUUUGGAAAAAGCUGUCCUAAACGGUCCACAGCUUCUGAGAAACUGUCAGAUUCUGGAAAAUGAACUAAGAAUCCAGAAGCUAGGUUUAGAAGCUUUUUUAGAUUCUCAGAAACUGACUACCAAGCAGCUGCUUCUCAGAAUGUAAAACUCCUCAAACAGACCUCAUAUAACUUACGCGUUCGAUCACAUAAGCCAACGACAAUGAAAUGAACAUAUUAUGUAAAUACUUACAAGCAGCUAGCAUACCAAAACCUGAAAAAUAAAUGAGUAAUCCUACAUCUAUGCUAGGAGUAUAAUUAUUUGCAAUUGACGAUGAAGGGAACGGAAAAUGACUUGGCCGCAACAGUACAAAACCUAGUCAUCAAACUAGGCAGGAGGUCGAUCGUCAACAGCCAUCCCUGCUGUAUGCCGGCAACGACCGCUAAUUCUCACACGCCGUCGCCGGUGCAGCGAACCUAAUUAGCGAUCGAGCUAGCUGUCUUGUGUGUGUCUGUCUCUGCCUCUCAACCGUGACGACAAGGCCAGACCGACCGACCAAAACCCUCCUUGUCGAUCGCGCAUCACCAGCAGCGCGCGGGGCUUCGGCCGGGCGCUUUCACCUCGUGGGGGGUGACGAACCGGAGCGCGGAGCCAACGGACGGACGACGCGGGCACACACACAUCGGCACGUCGAAAUCGCGUCCUGUACCAACGCCAGCGGGCGCAGCUGUCUGUCCUCCCGGCCUCCUCGCGGCCGUCCAUCCGCCCGUCCCACUACUGCCCAAGCGCGGCGCGGCGUGG
rnacentral:lncRNA from 1 species